UCCGUAUCAAUACCUGUCGUCAUAUCCUCAACUUUCCCUUUCAUACGCACAUCCAAAAAAAUUUCCCAAACUCUUGCACGAUAUUUUUCAUCAUCACAUUGCAAUCUGAUUGUUUCAUCAAUCCUUGAUUUGUCAUUAUCAUAAUCGAACCCAAACAAAAUUCCUAAUAACACCUCAUGUUAAAUGAACCCAGACAUAAUUCAGUAAUUGCAAUAUAAGAAUUUAUACUUCCAUAGCAGAAGUGGUGGCCGCCUAUCCCAAGAUCAGAGAUGCUGAUGCUCAGAACUCAUUGCUGCGAGCGGAGAAUGGUUCCAUGAAGGAAAAGCUGUCAGUCCUCUCUGGAGAGAUUAUGUUGAAAGAAGCCAAAUAUCAUGAGCUAAAGAAGGAGAAGGACGCGUUGAAGCAACUGUCUCUGAUGCAUCUAUCACCCGCAUUUGCAGAAUCCUCCCAACCAAAUCAUUACGGCUACCCACCGGUGAAUAAUAUGGCCAUGGAUCAACCAGGAUUCAAUCAGUUUGUGGGAGCAGUAGCUCCGCCGCCAAUGAUGCAGAAUCAAAAUACUGAGAACGAGUUUGGGUUUGAUGUCAACUUUGGAGACAACUAUAAUCCGAUGUGAACUUCCAGCUUUUGGCCAAGACUGAGAAUAUCUCCUCGUUUGAAUCUUAUCUUGUAGUGCUUUUUAGUUGGCUUGCUGGCUUUGUUUGUUUUAGUUAAAUUUGCAUGGACUUUGCAGUACUUUUUGAAGUAUUUUUCUCAGCCAUAAGCUGGAAACUAGGGAUAUAAUAAAAUGGAGAAACAAUUUCUGAAGAGUUGAUUGA